AAAAAAAAAAGUACAUGAAAUUAAUCAAAGGCAAACUUGAACAGAGGCCAGAUAAAGUAAAACUUUUAUGGCAGGGGCUGCAGAACAAAUCAAACGUAUCCUUGCUAAUUUCAAAAACUACCAGUUCUUUACUGGUGACACAUGAUUCCAGAUGACAUGGUUGCUCUACUGGAUUACCCUGAGGGUGGUGUGACCCCCAUAUAUGAUUUUCUUUAGGGAUGGUUUAGAAAUGGAAAAA
rnacentral:lncRNA from 10 species